AUUGAACGCUGGCGGCAUGCCUUACACAUGCAAGUCGAACGGUAACGCGGGGCAACCUGGCGACGAGUGGCGAACGGGUGAGUAAUACAUCGGAACGUGCCCAGUAGUGGGGGAUAGCCCGGCGAAAGCCGGAUUAAUACCGCAUACGACCUACGGGUGAAAGCGGGGGAUCGCAAGACCUCGCGCUAUUGGAGCGGCCGAUGUCAGAUUAGCUAGUUGGUGGGGUAAAAGCCUACCAAGGCGACGAUCUGUAGCUGGUCUGAGAGGACGACCAGCCACACUGGGACUGAGACACGGCCCAGACUCCUACGGGAGGCAGCAGUGGGGAAUUUUGGACAAUGGGGGGCAACCCUGAUCCAGCCAUGCCGCGUGCGGGGAGAAGGCCUUCGGGUUGUAAACCGCUUUGUCAGGGAAGAAACGGUACUGCGCUAAUACCGCGGACGUAAUAGACGGUACCUGAAGAAUAAGACACCGGCUAACUACGUAGCCAGCAGCCGCGGUAAU
rnacentral:rRNA from 1 species